rnacentral:rRNA from 1 species
CUGGGACAAGCCCUGGAAACGGGGUCUAAUACCGGAUAACACUUCCACUCUCCUGAGUGGAGGUUGAAAGCUCCGGCGGUGAAGGAUGAGCCCGCGGCCUAUCAGCUUGUUGGUGAGGUAAUGGCUCACCAAGGCGACGACGGGUAGCCGGCCUGAGAGGGCGACCGGCCACACUGGGACUGAGACACGGCCCAGACUCCUACGGGAGGCAGCAGUGGGGAAUAUUGCACAAUGGGCGCAAGCCUGAUGCAGCGACGCCGCGUGGGGGAUGACGGCCUUCGGGUUGUAAACCCCUUUCAGCAGGGAAGAAGCGAAAGUGACGGUACCUGCAGAAGAAGCGCCGGCUAACUACGUGCCAGCAGCCGCGGUAAUACGUAGGGCGCAAGCGUUGUCCGGAAUUAUUGGGCGUAAAGAGCUCGUAGGCGGCUUGUCGCGUCGGUUGUGAAAGCCCGGGGCUUAACCCCGGGUCUGCAGUCGAUACGGGCAGGCUAGAGUUCGGUAGGGGAGAUCGGAAUUCCUGGUGUAGCGGUGAAAUGCGCAGAUAUCAGGAGGAACACCGGUGGCGAAGGCGGAUCUCUGGGCCGAUACUGACGCUGAGGAGCGAAAGCGUGGGGAGCGAACAGGAUUAGAUACCCUGGUAGUCCACGCCGUAAACGGUGGGCACUAGGUGUG